rnacentral:lncRNA from 1 species
UAACUCUAUUUUAUUAUAUUUGCUGGGAAAUGAACUAGCUCAGGGUAAUUAGGAAAGCAAUUUUAUUAGCUUCUAUUUCAUAAAGAUUGUUUUUUAAUCAGAGUCAGAACUUACUAGAAAUGACUCUGUGCUCAUUGCUUGGGUCUCAGGAAAUGAAGUGGGGCACUGUAGGUCCUAACCCACAGUAAAGCCAAUGUGAUGAA